CUCCGUCACUCAGGGAGGGCGGCCCUUCUACACCUCUGAAAUGGUGGGGAUUCGGUGGGUCCUGAGCCCACCCUGCAAUUCGGGGUUACUGGGCAGGAUUGGCAGACGGACAGUCACCUUCCCCACCAUCGCUUUACAGACACUGGGCCAGAUCCCUGGGUGCAGUGGAUAGCCCCGGAGCGCACUGGGUUCUUUGGAACCAGACCGGAUGUGAUGCUUGCUUGCCGUUAAAUACUUGAAAGGGAGAAGAGACACUUCUUGGACUACAUUUCCCAGAAGGAGAUACAGCAGAAUCUCUGAGCAGAGCAAUGACAAAUAACCUAGGGAAGACUCUAAUCUUUGUAGGGAUAUUAACAUCCUCUUAGAAAUCCAAAGUCUAAAUCUAGAGAAGUUCCAACAAUUCACCAAGCCUGACACUUGUAUCAUGCAUGUUCCCUUUUCACAAUCUGGCACUUCAUGAACCCAGGAUAAUGUCUUUAAGUGGAUUCCAGAAAAUACAAUUACAAAGGGAAGCCAAAUAUUAGUGAAAAUAAAGAUGCAUUAA